rnacentral:SRP_RNA from 1 species
GCCGGGUGCGAUGGCUCACACCUAUAAUCCCAGCACUUUGGGAGGCUGAGGCGGGUGGAUCACCUGAGGUCAGGAGUUCGAGACCAGCCUGGCCAACAUGGUGAAACCCCGUCUCUA